rnacentral:rRNA from 1 species
AUUGAACGCUGGCGGCAUGCCUUACACAUGCAAGUCGAACGGCAGCACGGGUGCUUGCACCUGGUGGCGAGUGGCGAACGGGUGAGUAAUACAUCGGAACAUGUCCUGUAGUGGGGGAUAGCCCGGCGAAAGCCGGAUUAAUACCGCAUACGAUCUACGGAUGAAAGCGGGGGACCUUCGGGCCUCGCGCUAUAGGGUUGGCCGAUGGCUGAUUAGCUAGUUGGUGGGGUAAAGGCCUACCAAGGCGACGAUCAGUAGCUGGUCUGAGAGGACGACCAGCCACACUGGGACUGAGACACGGCCCAGACUCCUACGGGAGGCAGCAGUGGGGAAUUUUGGACAAUGGGCGAAAGCCUGAUCCAGCAACGCCGCGUGUGUGAAGAAGGCCUUCGGGUUGUAAAGCACUUUUGUCCGGAAAGAAAUCCUUGGCUCUAAUACAGUCGGGGGAUGACGGUACCGGAAGAAUAAGCACCGGCUAACUACGUG